UUUUGUAACGUGGAAAAGCGUGAAAUUCGCCGUUAGUCGGUGCCAAAUCGUGACCGCGUUCGCACACAACCAGCACGAUCCCGGGAUAAUCGAACUACUGUGAGUGUGAGCUAGUGAGUGAGUGGAGUUGAAGUAACCCAUAAUAAAAAAGUCCUUUUUAAAUUAAGGGAAAAGGGUAACAUUAUCACGACAAGGAUGUGUUGGUGCUUUUAAGUGAAGCGUGUCCGUGUCCGUGAAAGAUUUGUCUGGUUGCUGCAAGACAUGUGCGGUGGAAUGAAGUCGAAACAAAUGUGCCAAAAGCUAUGGAAAACGAAAGCAAAGCAAGUGAAAACCUGUGCAAAAUGAAAGAAAAAUAUUAGAAAGUGAACAAAGCAAAUGAAAAAACGAAGAAAUUUAUGUGAAGUUUGUGCAGUUUUUGUUAAGUCAAAAAUAAAGUUUGAAG